ACCGAGUGUAUUUUUGCACGGCUUAUGUUCGACGUUUGAUUUUCUGUCUUAUUUAAACAAGUUUUAUAAAAAGUAUUUUUAUUAUUAUUAGACGACACAACAUGAAUAUCACUUUAUGUAUAGCUAUUUUUAAAAGAAAAUCAAAUAAGAUGAACGGUCAAACGUUUGAACAUGAAAAUCCAUAAAUACAUUUAAA
rnacentral:pre_miRNA from 1 species